GACGGGGGCCCGCACAAGCAGCGGAGCAUGUGGUUUAAUUCGAAGCAACGCGAAGAACCUUACCAGGUCUUGACAUCCAGUUAAGCUUGUAGAGAUACAAGGUGUGCUUGCACAAACUGAGACAGGUGGUGCAUGGUUGUCGUCAGCUCGUGUCGUGAGAUGUUGGGUUAAGUCCCGCAACGAGCGCAACCCUUAUUUUCAGUUACUAACGAGUAAAGUUGAGGACUCUGAAGAGACUGCCGGGGACAACUCGGAGGAAGGUGGGGACGACGUCAAAUCAUCAUGCCCCUUAUGACCUGGGCUACACACGUGCUACAAUGGCCACCACAGAGAGGGGCGAACCCGCAAGGGGGAGCGGAUCUCAAAAAAGUGGUCCCAGUUCGGAUUGUGGGCUGCAACCCGCCCACAUGAAGUCGGAGUUGCUAGUAAUCGCGGAUCAGCAUGCCGCGGUGAAUACGUUCCCGGGCCUUGUACACACCGCCCGUCACACCAUGGGAGUUGGGAGUGCCCAAAGUCGGUGAGGUAACCGCAAGGAGCCAGCCGCCUAAGGCAAGACCAAUGACUGGGGUGAAGUUGUAACAAGGUAGGCCGU
rnacentral:rRNA from 1 species